UCGCGUGGCCAUAGCGUAGAGGAAAUACCCGUUCCCAUCCCGAACACGGAAGUCAAGCUCUACAGCGCCGGAUGUACUUGGUGGGUGACUGCCCGGGAGAUAUGGACGCCGCGCGGA
rnacentral:rRNA from 1 species